rnacentral:rRNA from 1 species
AACGAACGCUGGCGGCAGGCCUAACACAUGCAAGUCGAGCGGCAGCGGGAAGUAGCUUGCUACUUUGCCGGCGAGCGGCGGACGGGUGAGUAAUGUCUGGGAAACUGCCUGAUGGAGGGGGAUAACUACUGGAAACGGUAGCUAAUACCGCAUAACGUCGCAAGACCAAAGGGGGGGACCUUCGGGCCUCUUGCCAUCAGAUGUGCCCAGAUGGGAUUAGCUAGUAGGUGGGGUAAUGGCUCACCUAGGCGAUGAUCCCUAGCUGGUCUGAGAGGAUGACCAGCCACACUGGAACUGAGACACGGUCCAGACUCCUACGGGAGGCAGCAGUGGGGAAUAUUGCACAAUGGGCGCAAGCCUGAUGCAGCCAUGCCGCGUGUAUGAAGAAGGCCUUCGGGUUGUAAAGUACUUUCAGCGGGGAGGAAGGUGUUGAGGUUAAUAACCUCAGCAAUUGACGUUACCCGCAGAAGAAGCACCGGCUAACUCCGUGCCAGCCGCCGCCGUAA